rnacentral:rRNA from 1 species
UUGGAGGGCAAGUCUGGUGCCAGCAGCCGCGGUAAUUCCAGCUCCAAUAGCGUAUAUUAAAGUUGUUACAGUUAAAAAGCUCGUAGUUGAAUUUCGGGAUCAAUGUUUCGGUCAUGCCGUUGGUAUGUACUGAUAUUAUUGAUUUCUCACCUUCUAAAGAACCGUAAUGCCAUUAAUUUGGUGUCACGGGGAAUUAGGACUGUUACCUUGAAAAAAUUAGAGUGUUUAAAGCAGGCUCACGCUUGAAUACAUUAGCAUGGAAUAAUGAAAUAGGACAUCCGAUUCUAUUUUGUUGGUUUCUAGGAUCGAUGUAAUGAUUAAUAGGGAUAGUUGGGGGCAUUAGUAUUCAAUUGUCAGAGGUGAAAUUCUUGGAUUUAUUGAAGACUAACUACUGCGAAAGCAUUUGCCAAGGAUGUUUUCAUUAAUCAAGAACGAAAGUUAGGGGAUCGAAGACGAUCAGAUACCGUCGUAGUCUUAACCAUAAACUAUGCCGACUAGGGAUCGGAUGAUGUUAAUUUUUUAAUGGCUCAUUCGGCGCCUUACGGGAAACCAAAGUGUUUGGGUUC